rnacentral:rRNA from 1 species
UACGAAGGGGGCUAGCGUUGUUCGGAUUUACUGGGCCGAUAAGCGCACGUAGGCGGAUCGUUAAGUCGGGGGUGAAAUCCUGGAGCUCAACUCCAGAACUGCCUUCGAUACUGGCGAUCUUGAGUCCGGAAGAGGUGAGUGGAACUCCUAGUGUAGAGGUGGAAUUCGUAGAUAUUAGGAAGAACACCAGUGGCGAAGGCGGCUCACUGGUCCGGUACUGACGCUGAGGUGCGAAAGCGUGGGGAGCAAACAGG